ensembl:lncRNA
AUGCUAAUAAAGGCCAAUCCCAGGAAAGGCAGGAGGGCACUCCUCCAAUGGGAACCUGGAGCCGUCGGUAGCGGUGGCGGCCUGCGACCUCGCAAUAGCUCCGGCAGGCGGGAGGGACGCGUCCAGUGCUUUCGCGAGGUCCUGCUGCCUGCCGCUGGAACCUGGUCGAGCGAGGCAGCGGCGACGCCGACGGUCUGAAGUUCCCGGUCAGCGGGUUGCGGAGGAUCGUGCGGGUAGCAAAGGGAGGGCGAGUGCUCCUGCGGCCCCAGACGGCAACCAGGUGAGUACCCUGCGGAGCCCACCGCCCAUGCCCGCCCUCCGCGCUCCCCCCAUUUCUGUCUCUUGGGAAACGGUACUGUGCAGGUCUGCAGCUC